GCAGCUCUUACUCUUCAAAGUAAAAAUAAGAAGACACCAACGAUGGUCUUAAACAUCUUUAGAAUAUAUUGUCAACAUCGUUUACGGUAUCGUGUCGUUAUUAUGUUUGUUUGUGUACAUUGUAUCGUAUUUAUACCUCGUUUUUUACUAUUUUACAUAAUAGACAUUUCGAUGUUGACAAUAGCCAGACAAUAUACUGUUUAUAUUGUAUACCAAGCCUAUACAUUACUGUUUAUAUCUUUCACAUCGUAGACAUUGUGUUUAUAUUGUAUACCAAGCCUAUACAUGUACAUUAGUGUUUAUAUGUUUCACCUCGUAGACAUUGUGUUUAUAUUGUAUACCAAGCCUAUACAUUAGUGUUUAUAUCUUUCACAUGGUAGACAUUGUAUUUAUAUUGUAUACCAAGCCUUUACAUUAGUGUUUAUAUCUUUCACAUCGUAGACAUUG
rnacentral:lncRNA from 1 species